AAUCCUAAAAUGCGAUUUUUGUACUACACAUAGGUACUGGACAGCUUUGAGUACUGUAUCCAGUGUCUAUCUUAGUGCAACAAUUGCUAAAAAGGAUCUUGUUU
rnacentral:pre_miRNA from 1 species